AACGAACGCUGGCGGCAUGCCUAACACAUGCAAGUCGAACGAGUCCUUCGGGUCUAGUGGCGCACGGGUGCGUAACGCGUGGGAACCUGCCCUUAGGUUCGGCAUAACUCCCCGAAUGGGGUGCUAAUACCGGCUCUUGUCUUCGGUCCAAACAUUUAUCGCCUUUGGAUGGUCCCGCGUUGGAUUACUUUGUUGUUAGGCUAAAAGCCUACCACGGCGACGAUCCAUAGCUGGUCAGAGAGGAUGAUCAGCCACACUGGGACUGGGAAACGGCCCAGACUACUACGGGAGGCAGCAGUGGGGGAUAGAGGACAAUGGGCGAAGGGCUGAACCAGCAAGGCCGGGUGAGUGAUGAAGGCCGGAGGGAAGUAAAGUUCGUUUACCCGGGAUGAUAAUGACAGUACCGGGAGAAUAAGCACCGGCUAACUCCGUG
rnacentral:rRNA from 1 species